UACGUAGGAGGCGAGCGUUGUCCGGAAUCACUGGGUGUAAAGCGCGUGUAGGCGGCCUGCCAAGUCUGCUGUGAAAGCGCCUGGCUUAACCGGGCGAGGUCGGUGGAAACUGGCGGGCUGGAGGACGGUAGAGGGGGGUGGAAUUCCCGGUGUAGUGGUGAAAUGCGCAGAUAUCAGGAGGAACACCGGUGGCGAAGGCGGAUCUCUGGGCCAUUACUGACGCUGAGGAGCGAAAGCGUGGGGAGCAAACAGG
rnacentral:rRNA from 1 species